rnacentral:lncRNA from 1 species
AUGAAUGUUAAUUAAGUCAGAUAUUUUAGUAACUUGUAGAAAUAUAUCAAUAUAGCAACUACCGGUAUUUAAUGACAGAGGCACAGGGAAUUCUCUUUAGAUUAAUAACUUCCUGGGAGUUGUUAAUUUGGGACUAUUAGCCAAUGUCAGAUACAUUUGGAACAAAUCCCACAGAUUCUAGUAGGUCUGGAAUUCACUAAUGCAGGAUGGCAACAGCCAGGAAAUGCAAAUAUUAAGUCUCUACAGUAACAUUAACUAGGCCACAUUGUACAUCUGGUAUGUUUUAUGGUUCACAUUGAGCCACACAAAUAUAGCAAGUGAUUUUUUGAGUUUUAGCUUACUAUUAUGCAGAGUUCUAAUUCUAGUUCUCAUAAUCAGAGCAUGCAUCUCAAUAAGUUUGUGAGAAAUGCUAAAAUAUUGUUUUAAAAAUUGAGGAGCACCUGGAAUUUUAAAUAAAUUUGAAAGAUUGGCACCUAACAAGAAAAACAGGAAUGGAAAAGACUGCCUCUGUGCAAUGUGGUAGAGCUGACCCAGGAACAUUAACUUUUGCGUUUCCCGACUAACUUUGCAUGAAUGUAGGAUUUUGCUUGUUUAUUUUUGGUUAUAAUUUCCCAGUGUGUUUUAAAAAAAGAAAAAAGCAAAGUCCUCAGUUUACCAAGUAUAAUUAAGUUAAUUUUGUGCUUUUUAUGUGGUAUCCUCCACAUACUGGUUUGGGUACAUAGGGAUAAUUGUAUGUUCUUACUCUGCGGCUUAUGAGGUAUUUGUGAGCUGCAACAGUCCUUGAUGUGUAACAUGAGUUUCAAGUUUAAUAAAGUCUUUAUUUACCUUCAGAUAUGCCUCCACAUGGUUUCUCAGCAAAACACAGCACAGCACACAGGAAAGACAUUUUUAUCCAGGGCUUGGAUUGCGCUGGUGCAUAUGGAUCUGGAGUACCUGCAUCUUUCUGCAGGUACUAUCUUGUUCUCCAGAAUCUCAGUAUAACUGAUGCAGAAAUGUCUAUGGCCAUGUCGAGACUAGGAUUUAAAGAUGUGCUGUUCACACGUUAUCUAACGUGCUA